rnacentral:rRNA from 1 species
UAGGGAAUCUUCGGCAAUGGGGGGAACCCUGACCGAGCAACGCCGCGUGAGUGAAGAAGGUUUUCGGAUCGUAAAGCUCUGUUGUUAAGGAAGAACGAGUGUGAGAAUGGAAAGUUCAUACUGUGACGGUACUUAACCAGAAAGGGACGGCUAACUACGUGCCAGCAGCCGCGGUAAUACGUAGGUCCCGAGCGUUGUCCGGAUUUAUUGGGCGUAAAGCGAGCGCAGGCGGUUAGAAAAGUCUGAAGUGAAAGGCAGUGGCUCAACCAUUGUAGGCUUUGGUAUCUGUUUAACUUGAGUGCAGAAGGGGAGAGUGGAAUUCCAUGUGUAGCGGUGAAAUGCGUAGAUAUAUGGAGGAACACCGGUGGCGAAAGCGGCUCUCUGGUCUGUAACUGACGCGGAGGCUCGAAAGCGUGGGGAGCGAACAGG